rnacentral:rRNA from 1 species
CCUACGGGUGGCAGCAGUGAGGAAUAUUGGUCAAUGGACGCAAGUCUGAACCAGCCAUGCCGCGUGCAGGAAGACGGCCCUAUGAGUUGUAAACUGCUUUUGUACGGGGGUAAACACAGAUACGCGUAUCUGUCUGAAAGUAUCGUACGAAUAAGGAUCGGCUAACUCCGUGCCAGCAGCCGCGGUAAUACGGAGGAUUCAAGCGUUAUCCGGAUUUAUUGGGUUUAAAGGGUGCGGAGGCGGUUGGAUAAGUUAGAGGUGAAAUCCCGGGGCUCAACUUCGGAAUUGCCUCUGAUACUGUUAGGCUAGAGAGUAGUAGCGGUAGGCGGAAUGUAUGGUGUAGCGGUGAAAUGCUUAGAGAUCAUGCAGAACACCGAUUGCGAAGGCAGCUUACCGGGCUACUACUGACGUUGAGGCACGAAAGCGUGGGGAGCAAACAGGAUUAGAUACCCCAGUAGUC